rnacentral:rRNA from 1 species
CCUACGGGAGGCAGCAGUGAGGAAUAUUGGUCAAUGGACGAGAGUCUGAACCAGCCAAGUAGCGUGAAGGAAGACUGCUCUAUGGGUUGUAAACUUCUUUUAUAAAAGAAUAAAACGAGGCACGUGUGCCUUUUUGCAUGUAUCUUAUGAAUAAGGAUCGGCUAACUCCGUGCCAGCAGCCGCGGUAAUACGGAGGAUCCGAGCGUUAUCCGGAUUUAUUGGGUUUAAAGGGAGCGUAGAUGGGUUGUUAAGUCAGUUGUGAAAGUUGGCGGCUCAACCGUAGAAUUGCAAUUGAUACUGGCAGUCUAGAGAACAGUUGAGGUAAGCGGAAUGCGUGGUGUAGCGGUGAAAUGCUUAGAUAUCACGAAGAACCCCGAUUGCGAAGGCAGCUUACUAAACUGUGACUGACAUUGAGGCACGAAAGUGUGGGGAGCAAACAGGAUUAGAUACCCCUGUAGUC